GAUAGCUUAACCACACGGAUGGGUGUUCCUUUCUUCUCCUGGACAGACGAUGGCAUCCUAGCACUUCCUUAGCAUACAAAGCACCCGCAGCAUCUUCCCUUGUUUGAUUGAAUCAGACAUGCUGGAAGAGUCUGAGAUUCAGGGUUUUGCUUCCAGUCCUGGAUGAAACAGAUGAACGCCAUAAUCCCCGUAUUUCCUAAAAGGGAGACAUGAAAAUCUUGCGUUUAUACUAAAAAGUGUUCCCAUCUCAUUGAAAUUCAGGCUUGAACUAUCCACCCUGAACACGUCCAGAAGCCCUUCCUCAAAUUCUGGAAGCAGUGAUCUCGGGAGAGAAGUUUUCCAUCUGUCUCCUUAUGAUGCUAAGCUGUUAGUGCAGUUCAUUAUUUAUGACAUCUCCUGCUUUACGGUGUGUGUGGCCGGAGUGGCAGUAAGGAGACACGUCUUCCGAGGCCCUGCAUGUGUCUGUAGGGCUGGAGGACAUUCGCUCCCAGAGGCAGAGAUGACAUGGGAGAAUGUCAGCAUAUCAAGGCACAGCAUCUCACAGUCACAGCAAAUCCACAGUCUCCGAAGAGGCAGUUUGUGGCAUGUGCUUUUAAAAUACAAACGAACAGACACAACAACUGGCAUUCCAAACAUCUCCUGGUCCUCCAGGGCAGAUGGUGCCAAGGCAAUGAUGUAUUCAUCAGAGCUGAGCUCCCCAGGCUCACGUGGGGAAGGGAGCUGGGCUUUGGACUCUAAUUCCCUCUUUUCCAUCAGGGUUCAGCUCCCCCUUUUCAGCCCGGGCCGUCUGCUGGCUAAUGCACGGAGGGAAUCCUGGUCUACCAGCCUGCAGGGACAUAGCUGAGUGCACCGCCCUGGGGCAGGAAGGCAGUCCUGCACACGACAGCCCCAGGAGGGACAGAAGGAGGAAGGCACUGACACCACGGCCCCCUCAUUCCCCCAGUCCAGUUGUUAUUGUCAACUCUCUUCUUGGUAACCCCUGACCCCUCAUGUCCUGCCCACAGAGGCUCAGGGGUGGCGAAAUUGCCUCAAAGGAUGGUUAUUUUAGUGCAACAGAAUCAGAUGAUUUUCCACUCAGCAUCUUGUUUGUAGAAAUAUCCUAUUAGACACAGAAAGGAAAAGAUCCGUAUCUUUCACACCAUAAUUAAAAUAUCACUUUUCUCAAUGAAACAUUAUCUAGAUUAUCCCACAGAACAGUGUUGCUUACAACAGUGACUAUAAAUGUGAUGCUGCCAGCUAGAACACUAUGGAAAAUGUUAGUUACUGCACCAUCUCCUGCAGUUGUUCUUUUGAUGUGCUGGCUUGGAAUAAACAGACUUAUCUUUCCUGUCAUACAACACUGUCUUUAAUUUAAUGGAGAUGUUAUUAAGAUAAAAUCUCUAUUCAAUUCCAUAUUGUACCGUAUUAACACACACAAUUAGUAAUGCUUUAUCAGUUAUGAAGAAAGAUGAUGACUGCUUUUAAGCUAAAUUACCUUUAUCAUGGUAGCACAUGAAAGAGGUGACAAAUAUUUAUCCGAGUGUAUGUUAAUUCUUAUUUAAUUUUAACGCUGUUUUUAUCAACCAAAUUAACCAAUGAAUUUUAUUAAAGGGAAUGUUAUUAUAGAAAA
ensembl:lncRNA